rnacentral:rRNA from 1 species
AACGAACGCUGGCGGCGUGGAUAAGACAUGCAAGUUGAACGGUUGACAUAGGGUAGCAAUAUUCUGUGUCAGCAGUGGCGUAAGGGUGCUUAACACGUGGGUAAUCUGCCGCGAAGCGUGGGAUAACUCGCUGAAAGGCGAGCUAAUACCGCAUGUGAUUUUCUUGAGGCAUCUCAGGGAAUUCAAACAUGGGUCGCAAGGCCUGUGGUUUCGCGAUGAGCCCGCGGCCUAUCAGCUAGUUGGCGGGGUAAAGGCCCACCAAGGCUAAGACGGGUAGCUGGUCUGAGAGGACGACCAGCCACACUGGAACUGAGACACGGUCCAGACACCUACGGGUGGCAGCAGUCGAGAAUUUUUCACAAUGGGGGAAACCCUGAUGGAGCGACGCCGCGUGGGGGAUGAAGGGCUUCGGUUCGUAAACCCCUGUCAUUGGCGAACAAGUGUUGCGUCCUAAUACGGCGCAACUUGAUAGUAGCCGAAGAGGAAGGGACGGCUAACUCUGUGCCAGCAGCCGCCGUAA